UUUUGUUCCUCUCAGUGUCAGUGUGUAGUGUGAUACUGUAUGUUCUAAUUAAAAUACAUAGAUACAUGGAUUUCAUUUAGAUUUUUGUCUGUCCAAUUGACUCCUAUAAUUCAGCCAGUAGAUGUCACCAGAAGCAUUUUUUGACUUGUAUUGUUAUUGCUGUAUGACUCCUUUCUCGACUGGCUGAGUAAACCCUGUCUGGCAGGCUGAUUUUAUGAGUACCACCGGCUACUGAGUGCAAACACUCAGUCUGACUCAACAGACUACCCAGAAGACAUAUACUCUGAAAGAGAAAAGGGAACUGGCACUGAUGGAGCGGACAGAUAGCGCAGUGGCAGCUGGAUGAAGCUAACACUCCUUUCUGGUCUGAAGGCAGAAAAGCGUGACCAAGUCCUUGCACUGACAUCACUCGGAGGAGAACAGAUCUGGCAGUAGGAGAUUCCACACUCCACCACUGGACUUUCUCUGAAUAUGGAAUAUACGCAACAUCACUGCGGUGAUCUUUGGAGAGAUUUCCUUAAAGGAACAGGAACUCAUUUUGAACAAGGUGGAGCAACAAAGACCAAACACUGCUCACACAGCGGACUACGUCAGACUGCUCCUUACCAUGUUCAUGAUCAUAACAUAAACUUUCUUUCACUAAACCUACACAUGU